GAAGCCUGGACCACGUGCCCGCUCCUCACUCCCGCCUUUCCCACGUGCCUCCUUUAGCGCCAGCCAAGCUCCGCUGGCUGGGGCUGACAGCUGCCUAGGGUUUGCGGUGGUGGGGUCGCUGCCCUGGGAGAAGGGGCUGCCCUGAUGUGUUCCGUGAUCCCUGCAACUGAUCCUCUACUCCUGGGUCAUCCAGAACCAGGACUUCAGCUUGGAGCGCCCGGUAGCAUCAAAGGCAAACACCCCCCACUUUGGGUCCCAUUCCAUUCUACCAAUCUGCUACCCCAGCAGCUACCUGAAAGCACUCAAGGCUGAGAAGUGAGGGGAACUCAAGAGCGUGAGCAGGAAUCCCAGUUAUAAGGUUCGGCUGUGAUUCAAACUGAGUGACCUGGACAGACAGCUGACACUUCUGAGGAUGAGUGGAAUCAUGCAAGUGGAGUCCAGGACCUGAAGGAACUUUCCAUGGCUCCCCAGUACCCAGGGUCGAAAGACUAACGUCCUGGCAUUCGAGGCUCCCAUACUCUGGCUGCAGCCUGCUUUUCAGCUGUAGGACCCUCCACAGGCUCUCCACUGCACGACAUCCCGCUGUUCCAGUUCUCUACUGUAGCUGUGUUGUCCCUCUUUUUACCAUCCUACAGUAUCCAUAAGAGUUUCAUGGAGCCCAGGUUGACUGCUGAAUUUGCUAUGUAGCAGAGGGUAACCUUGAACUGAUCCGUCCACCUCUAUCUCCCAAGUGUUGUGAUUGCAGGCAAGCACUACCACACCUGGGAUCUGAAUGCUGCUUGAGCACUCACCAACAGAGCUACAUUCCCAGUGUCCCAUCUGAGACUUUCAAUAGCUCUUCAAGGCUAAUGUGACCUCCUGACUGAGAUGCCAGGGAGGGAGUGUGACCAGCCCAGACCUCCUGAUGAAGUAGUUGACCCCAUACAGAAGUGUUUUAGAAGCUGCAAUAAGGUCUUGUCAUCAUCAAACACAGCCCUCUGCUCUUACCUACCUGGUAGGGUCCUCACCUGCUAGGGUGCUGGUGGCUGCUGAGACCCCAAAGAAGCCUCCAGGGGCCAAAAGCAGGGGCUCCACACUGACACAGACCUCUUCAGGGUCAUUGGGAAUAAGGCCUCCACUCAAGGACACCUGAGGGGUAUGGAGGGAGUGAGUGCCUGCCUCUGCCUGGUCCCAGGAUGAGAGACUGAGCCCUGCUCUGGUUCACUGGCUCCCCAGACCUGUAAGAUAGAAACUACAUGGCCUGGGAUCAGAAUGACAUGAAAAUGGCAGGGAUGCUGGUUUCAUGUGACCCUUCUAUGUUCUGGGUCUGAUGAGAUUCUUUGUAUGAGGGUUAAGAGUAUUGACUGCUCUUCCAAAGGACCUGGGUUCAAUUCCCAGC